rnacentral:rRNA from 1 species
CCUACGGGGGGCAGCAGUGGGGAAUAUUGGGCAAUGGGCGCAAGCCUGACCCAGCAACGCCGCGUGAAGGAAGAAGGCUUUCGGGUUGUAAACUUCUUUUCUGAGGGACGAAGAAAGUGACGGUACCUCAGGAAUAAGCCACGGCUAACUACGUGCCAGCAGCCGCGGUAAUACGGGGGGGGCAAGCGUUAUCCGGAUUUAGUGGGUGUAAAGGGCGUGUAGGCGGGAAAGCAAGUCAGAUGUGAAAACUCAGGGCUCAACCCGGAGCCUGCAUUUGAAACUGUUUGUCUUGAGUGCUGGAGAGGCAAGCGGAAUUCCGUGUGUAGCGGUGAAAUGCGUAGAUAUACGGAGGAACACCAGUGGCGAAGGCGGAUUGCUGAACAGUAACUGACGCUGAGGCGCGAAAGCGUGGGGAGCAAACAGGAUUAGAUACCCGGGUAGUC